rnacentral:rRNA from 1 species
AUUGAACGCUGGCGGCAGGCCUAACACAUGCAAGUCGAGCGAGCGGCGGACGGGUGAGUAAUGUGUGGGAGACUGCCUGAUGGCGGGGGAUAACUGCUGGAAACGGUAGCUCAUACCGCAUACCCUCGGAUGUGCGCAGAGGGGAUUAGCUGGUAGGUGGGGUAACGGCUCACCAAGCGGACGAUCCCUAGCUGGUCUGAGAGGAUGACCAGCCACACUGGAACUGAGACACGGUCCAGACUCCUACGGGAGGCAGCAGUGGGGAAUAUUGCACAAUGGGCGCAAGCCUGAUGCAGCCAUGCCGCGUGUGUGAAGAAGGCCUUCGGGUUGUAAAGCACUUUCAGCGGGGAGGCGUUACCCGCAGAAGAAGCACCGGCUAACUCCGUGCCAGCAGCCGCGGUAAUUC